CACGUAGGGCGCAAGCGUUGUCCGGAUUUACUGGGCGUAAAGAGCGCGCAGGCGGUCGUUCAAGUCGCGUGUGAAAGCCCCCGGCUCAACUGGGGAGGGUCACGCGAUACUGAUCGACUCGAAGGCAGGAGAGGGUAGUGGAAUUCCCGGUGUAGUGGUGAAAUGCGUAGAUAUCGGGAGGAACACCAGUGGCGAAGGCGACUACCUGGCCUGUUCUUGACGCUGAGGCGCGAAAGCGUGGGGAGCGAACAGG
rnacentral:rRNA from 1 species